rnacentral:rRNA from 1 species
UACGAAGGGGGCUAGCGUUGCUCGGAAUUACUGGGCGUAAAGGGCGCGUAGGCGGAUAGUUUAGUCAGAGGUGAAAGCCCAGGGCUCAACCCUGGAAUUGCCUUUGAUACUGGCUAUCUUGAGUUCGGGAGAGGUGAGUGGAACUCCGAGUGUAGAGGUGAAAUUCGUAGAUAUUCGCAAGAACACCAGUGGCGAAGGCGGCUCACUGGCCCAUAACUGACGCUGAGGCACGAAAGCGUGGGGAGCAAACAGG